GACGAACGCUGGCGGCGUGCCUAAUACAUGCAAGUCGAACGAACUCUGGUAUUGAUUGGUGCUUGCAUCAUGAUUUACAUUUGAGUGAGUGGCGAACUGGUGAGUAACACGUGGGAAACCUGCCCAGAAGCGGGGGAUAACACCUGGAAACAGAUGCUAAUACCGCAUAACAACUUGGACCGCAUGGUCCGAGUUUGAAAGAUGGCUUCAGCUAUCACUUUUGGAUGGUCCCGCGGCGUAUUAGCUAGAUGGUGGGGUAACGGCUCACCAUGGCAAUGAUACGUAGCCGACCUGAGAGGGUAAUCGGCCACAUUGGGACUGAGACACGGCCCAAACUCCUACGGGAGGCAGCAGUAGGGAAUCUUCCACAAUAGACGAAAGUCUGAUGGAGCAACGCCGCGUGAGUGAAGAAGGGUUUCGGCUCGUAAAACUCUGUUGUUAAAGAAGAACAUAUCUGAGAGUAACUGUUCAGGUAUUGACGGUAUUUAACCAGAAAGCCACGGCUAACUACGUGCCAGCAGCCGCGGUAAUACGUAGGUGGCAAGCGUUGUCCGGAUUUAUUGGGCGUAAAGCGAGCGCAGGCGGUUUUUUAAGUCUGAUGUGAAAGCCUUCGGCUCAACCGAAGAAGUGCAUCGGAAACUGGGAAACUUGAGUGCAGAAGAGGACAGUGGAACUCCAUGUGUAGCGGUGAAAUGCGUAGAUAUAUGGAAGAACACCAGUGGCGAAGGCGGCUGUCUGGUCUGUAACUGACGCUGAGGCUCGAAAGUAUGGGUAGCAAACAGGAUUAGAUACCCUGGUAGUCCAUACCGUAAACGAUGAAUGCUAAGUGUUGGAGGGUUUCCGCCCUUCAGUGCUGCAGCUAACGCAUUAAGCAUUCCGCCUGGGGAGUACGGCCGCAAGGCUGAAACUCAAAGGAAUUGACGGGGGCCCGCACAAGCGGUGGAGCAUGUGGUUUAAUUCGAAGCUACGCGAAGAACCUUACCAGGUCUUGACAUACUAUGCAAAUCUAAGAGAUUAGACGUUCCCUUCGGGGACAUGGAUACAGGUGGUGCAUGGUUGUCGUCAGCUCGUGUCGUGAGAUGUUGGGUUAAGUCCCGCAACGAGCGCAACCCUUAUUAUCAGUUGCCAGCAUUAAGUUGGGCACUCUGGUGAGACUGCCGGUGACAAACCGGAGGAAGGUGGGGAUGACGUCAAAUCAUCAUGCCCCUUAUGACCUGGGCUACACACGUGCUACAAUGGAUGGUACAACGAGUUGCGAACUCGCGAGAGUAAGCUAAUCUCUUAAAGCCAUUCUCAGUUCGGAUUGUAGGCUGCAACUCGCCUACAUGAAGUCGGAAUCGCUAGUAAUCGCGGAUCAGCAUGCCGCGGUGAAUACGUUCCCGGGCCUUGUACACACCGCCCGUCACACCAUGAGAGUUUGUAACACCCAAAGUCGGUGGGGUAACCUUUUAGGAACCAGCCGCCUAAGGUGGGACAGAUGAUUAGGGUGAAGUCGUAACAAGGUAGCCGUAG
rnacentral:rRNA from 1 species